rnacentral:rRNA from 1 species
GAUGAACGCUGGCGGCGUGCCUAACACAUGCAAGUCGAGCGAACAGACGAGGAGCUUGCUCCUUUGACGUUAGCGGCGGACGGGUGAGUAACACGUAGGUAACCUACCUAUAAGACUGGGAUAACUUCGGGAAACCGGAGCUAAUACCGGAUAAUAUUUCGAACCGCAUGGUUCAAUAGUGAAAGAUGGCUUUGCUAUCCCUUAUAGAUGGACCUGCGCCGUAUUAGCUAGUUGGUAAGGUAACGGCUUACCAAGGCAACGAUACGAAGCCGACCUGAGAGGUUGAUCGGCCACACUGGAACUGAGACACGGUCCAGACUCCUACGGGAGGCAGCAGUAGGGAACCUUCCGCAUUGGGCGAAAGCCUGACGGAGCAACGCCGCGUGAGUGAUGAAGGUCUUCGGAUCGUAAAACUCUGUUAUUAGGGAAGAACAAACGUGUAAGUAACUGUGCACGUCUUGACGGUACCUAAUCAGAAAGCCACGGCUAACUACGUG